rnacentral:rRNA from 1 species
CUGUAAGCCUGUGAAGGUGUGCUGUGAGGCAUGCUGGAGGUAUCAGAAGUGCGAAUGCUGACAUAAGUAACGAUAAAGCGGGUGAAAAGCCCGCUCGCCGGAAGACCAAGGGUUCCUGUCCAACGUUAAUCGGGGCAGGGUGAGUCGACCCCUAAGGCGAGGCCGAAAGGCGUAGUCGAUGGGAAACAGGUUAAUAUUCCUGUACUUGGUGUUACUGCGAAGGGGGGACGGAGAAGGCUAUGUUGGCCGGGCGACGGUUGUCCCGGUUUAAGCGUGUAGGCUGGUUUUCCAGGCAAAUCCGGAAAAUCAAGGCUGAGGCGUGAUGACGAGGCACUACGGUGCUGAAGCAACAAAUGCCCUGCUUCCAGGAAAAGCCUCUAAGCAUCAGGUAACAUCAAAUCGUACCCCAAACCGACACAGGUGGUCAGGUAGAGAAUACCAAGGCGCUUGAGAGAACUCGGGUGAAGGAACUAGGCAAAAUGGUGCCGUAACUUCGGGAGAAGGCACGCUGAUAUGUAGGUGAAGUCCCUCGCGGAUGGAGCUGAAAUCAGUCGAAGAUACCAGCUGGCUGCAACUGUUUAUUAAAAACACAGCACUGUGCAAACACGAAAGUGGACGUAUACGGUGUGACGCCUGCCCGGUGCCGGA